AAGUCCUCCAGCGCUGAGGAGGCCGCCGCCUUGGCCAUGGUGCCCCACUCCGCCCCUCACCAGAGCCCCGUGAAGGAUCAGCCCGAACCUAGGAUGCGCUUUGGGAACUAGCAGAAGUGAUCAGCCUAGGAAGGUUGACAGGAUCCCAGUGUGCCCCCAGCACCACUGAGCAGGAAUUACAAGCGACUGUCUAUGAUGAAGACCUAAUGUUACCUCGGAGACUAGAGCUUUUCAGUCUGUCUGAAGCCCUGAAUCAAUGCUUGUCCUACAGCAAGCACUCAGUACUGUCCUAAAGUCAAUCAUAUCUUCAGAUACUGAAGCAGCUUGAACAUUCCAGAGUCAUUUCAAAGUGCUGUAGAAAAAUUAAAUAAUCAAGUGCACUGUAAUGAAAUUUCAUUCAUCGGGCUUGGACUCUGGACAUUUGGGCAGUUUCUACAAACCACAAUUCUCAAAGGAAAAGCAUCAAGAAGAGCCUCAUGCAGCCCACGUCGGCCUCAAACUGACGACAGAGCUGAGGAUGAGCUUGGAUUCCUCGCUCCCCUGCCUCCACCCAGGUGCGAGGAUCACAGGUCCGCACCACCACACUCUCAAACGUUAGUUUAACCUCAUCCAGUACUACUGUUCCAGUCUCCAACAGAGCCCUCAGCACCAUGAAUUCUGAUCCACCAAGGCAGAGAACCUAAUGAACACCCAAGAGGUUUCCUCAAAAUCCACCAAGACCCUCAGGAAACUGGCAAGGCCCAGACAGAAGAAGCAAGGACUGUCCCUGAGCAGGGUUCUGAGCACUGGCGAGGAGAGAGCUACAGACAGACAGACUGACAGUGGCCAGGCCAGGCCUACGGCGGAACCAAAAAUGACAGAGAUGUUUGGGAAUCACCUUCCAAACUCUGAAAGCAGAAGGUGCACACAGUCCAGCUCUCCCUCAUUCAAGUUACAACUGCAGGGCGGGCCCCUCUGUGUUCUCACACUCACUCCUCCCUGUCUCUUCUGUACGCCAGGGGUGGGGGUCCUGAAACCAAUGUUCCUCUGAUACCUCACGUUUUCCUUACAGUGGAUAUGGCACAUUUUAGUCUAACAAGUCUGGUGAUCAACAGAGGAUGGGCAACGAUCAGUGCUGUGAGUGAGGGCACAAAGGGUAAUGAAAAGCUGAUCAGAAAGCCGGCCCAGGGCUUAGGAGGACUAGUGUUGGAGGCCAGAGACUAUGUGGAUGCUUCCCUGGUACCAGGCCUGCUCCAAAGAUGAAUUAACCUCUACUGAAGGGCUACAGAACCCACAGCAUUCGGCACGGUCCUUACCAGCAACUGUCAGGCAGCCAGGCCUACAAGCCAGUGUAACAGGUACACGAGUUUAUUUUCAUUUAAAAUUCAAUGAACUAAGCCGGGCGGUGGUGGCGCACGCCUUUAAUCCCAGCACUCGGGAGGCAGAGCCAGGCGGAUCUCUGUGAGUUCGAGG